UGUGCAUCGUGGUCAAAUGCUCAGACUCCUUGGUGGCUGCUUAUGCACCAUGGAUGUUUGAGCAUGUGCUAUGGUGUCUA
ensembl:miRNA MIR105-2 microRNA 105-2